GGAAAUGCUUUGAAUCUUUGAUAUUGUUGUAAUAUAGUGGCAAAGAAUUUUGAAUCCCAGCUUCUGGAGCUCAUAUCUUGAUUCUGCGAGUUACUUCGCUAUGUUACUUUGGGGGAAGUUAUUAAUCUCUCUGUGCCUCAGUUUCCUCAGUCGACUAAAUUGAAAUUAUAAUAGCACCUACCUGAUAGGAUUGUUGAGACUAAAUGAGGUAACAAUUUAAAAAUAAGCUAAUACCUGAUAAUUAGUUCUAUAUAUGUACUGAUUGGUCUAAACGUUAUUUCCAUUUUCAUGUCUUUACUUAAAAUACUGAAAAUUAAUUUUUUAUAGCUUUGUUUUUCAGUUCCAUGAAAUCAGCCUGCCUUUUCUUUUUUUGGUGAUACAUCCACAUUCUGUAUAGGUGAAAAGCAAAACAAACAAGUAUAAAACGAAAAUUAUGUAAGAAGUACACACAUCCUAGCAGCUUGGCAAGUGUCUGUAUGCUCUUGCCUGUGCCUAAAUCCAGAAUUAGAAUUCAUGCUUGGUGCUCCUGUGGAAGAUGUCUAAAUGUUAUGAGAAAUACAUGAUUAAAUAAAAAUGUGAAAUGAAAGCAUGGAGACUUGUUGAAGGGGUAUCCACCAUGAUUAUAUAUGAUGGGGAGGAAAGGGAUUACUCCAUUUCUGCCCCUGCAGUCUGUAGGCAUGAUUGAUUACAUCAUUGGUCGCCGGUGAUUAACUCAGUCUCCAAGCCCUGUCGUGUCCCUGGAGGUUGGAGGGUGGCACUGAAAGCUCCAACCAUCUCAUCAUGCUUUGAUCUUUCCGAUGACCAGACCCCACCCUGAAGCUAUCUACGGGUCCCCAGCAACAUUCAUUUCGUUAUCAUACAAAUGACAUUCUUACAAUUUCAGAGAUUCCAAGGGCUUUAGGAAAUGGAGAUGAAGAGCAAAUAUAUAUUUCACAAUAUCACAAACAUACCCUUGGGAAUUAGACCUCUGAUCUAAUCUAGGCUCCCUCACUUGCCAUUUUUGUGACCUUGAACAAGUUGUUCAUCUUUUCUGGAUAGUUCUCUGUUAAAAAAAUUAAAAUAAAAAAAUGGUGGCUAUCAGGUUGUUAGGAGGACUAGAUAAGAGAACUAUGUGAAGGACCCUGCACAGUGCUAGCAACAAAGUUGUUUAGUAAGUGCUAUUUCAAUUUAUUUUGCUUCCAAGCUCAUGUGAGCUCCCUCAGUGUGUACCACCAAAUCACAUGAUGUGUAUCCCAGUCAAAUCUUAAAGGUCAUCCACCUUGAAUCUUUAAGUUAAUUAACGUGUGUUUUUAAAACUGCAUUAUAAGAACGUUAGGGUUUUUGUUUUGAUCCUAUGGAAGUUAAAUUUUUUACACAAGCAUUCAACUGUUUAGCUUCAAACUGAACAGAUAAAUAGUCUGUAUUAUUUCAUUAUGUAUUAAAAAAUGAUUAAGCCUGCCUCAGGCAGUUCAGGCAAAGCAGGUAAAAGAUUAUCAAGGAGUAACAUUAGAAAACACUAAUCAGAGUGCCUAAAAAGCUUUAUGCGGUCCAGGUUGUACAGGGAUGUUGGAACAGUAAAACAAACAAAACAUUACAAGGUAUGAAGCGUUCGAGAUAGGUAGAAUAGAGCAGGUUAUAUUAGAGAAGUCUCUUCUAAAAUUGUGUUGGCUAGCCUGGGAUUUGAACUUAUACCGUGUAUGUAUGUCCAUGUGUAACAGGUUGAACAUGCAAGAAGCAGUGUUCAUAAAAGGUGGCAAACUUGUUUUACUUGUUUCUCAGUCUUUUCAGAUCAGUACUUAUAAAACACUGAUAUUUACAGUAAAUAUCUUAUAUUAAAUAUUAGCUAACCCUAUUAAAUUGUGUGUCCUUGUGCUGCAGUCAUUUAAUGACCUCAUUCUUUGGUAAGUUGGCAUGUGAUUUGAGAUAGCUCUAAGUGCUAAUGGAUUGUUUGAAGGAGUUAAAGGCAAAACCAGGAAGAGAAAACUAUUUUUAGGAAAAAGCGAUCAUACAACAGGCCUUAAAUAGAAGAAAUGAGAUAUCUCUAUCUUUACUAUGUAACCUUUAAUUCCUUACACAUUUUGACUUCAUAUUUUUUGUAUGUAAAUGAGAAUGUUAUAGUCUUGUAAAUUCCUUUUCCUCUGUGACUACAUUCAGUUAUUUAUUUUAUUGUGUGUUUGUGCAUGUCGGUAGAGCACAGUAUUUAGUAGAAUGAGUUAUUGGUUAAACCACCUGGAUUCAUUUGUAAAAUGGGGCCACCUGUCUCUUAAAUUGUAAUGAGGAUUUGAUUAGAUAAUCUAGAUAAAUCACUUAGCACAAGAGUCUCCAGCCCCCGGACUCUUGACUGGUACUGGUCUGUGGCCUGUUAGGCACUGGGCUGCACAGCAGGAGGUGAGCAGGGAGCAAGCUAGCACUAGGGCCCAAGCUCCGCCUCCUGUCGGAUCAGUGGCAGCAUUAGAUACUCAUAGGAGCACAGACCCUGUUGUGAACUGUGCGUGUGAGGGAUCUAGGUUUCGUGCUCCUUACAAGAAUCUAAUUAAUGCCCGAUGAGUUGAGGUGGAACAGUUUCUUCCCAAAACCGUCUCAGGAAACCUGUCCCUGGUGCCAAAAUUUGGGGGACCUCUGACGUAGCACACUAUCUGGCACAUACCAAGCACUCAGAAAAUAUCCCAUUUCUCAAAACUCAGUUCCAGUGUCAAGUCUUAAUAGUAUAUUGAUCUUGGAACUCCAAGGUAGUUGGUCCUCUCUUUGUGCCAUAAAUGUGCCUUGUACUCAGUAGUGCUAAAUUGCUAUCAACUAGUGCUAAAUGUACUACUAAUUCAUCUGUGUGUCCACUUCCCUUCUUAGAUUGUGAGCCCCU
rnacentral:lncRNA from 1 species